rnacentral:rRNA from 1 species
GGUGAACGCUGGCGGCGUGCCUAAGACAUGCAAGUCGAGCGGGGCAGGUUUAUACCUGUUCAGCGGCGGACGGGUGAGUAACGCGUGGGUGACCUACCCGGAAGAGGCGGACAACCUGGGGAAACCCAGGCUAAUCCGCCAUGUGGUCCUGUCCUGUGGGGCAGGACUAAAGGGUGGAUAGCCCGCUUCCGGAUGGGCCCGCGUCCCAUCAGCUAGUUGGUGGGGUAAAGGCCCACCAAGGCGACGACGGGUAGCCGGUCUGAGAGGAUGGCCGGCCACAGGGCCACUGAGACACGGGCCCCACGCCUACGGGAGGCAGCAGUUAGGAAUCUGCCGAAAUGGACGGAAGUCUGACGGAGCGACGCCGCUUGGAGGAGGAAGCCCUUCGGGGUGUAAACUCCUGAACUGGGGACGAAAGCCCUGUGUAGGGGGAUGACGGUACCCAGGUAAUAGCGCCGGCCAACUCCGUG